rnacentral:misc_RNA from 1 species
CCAAUAGCGUAUAUUAAAGUUGUUGCAGUUAAAAAGCUCGUAGUUGAAUUUCGGGGUUAGUAAGUUGGUCGUGCCACUGGUAUGUACUGGCUUUACUGAUUCCUCCUUCUUGUAGAACCGUAAUGCCAUUAAGUUGGUGUUGCGGGGAAACAGGACUGUUACUUUGAAAAAAUUAGAGUGUUUAAAGCAAGCUAACGCUUGAAUACAUUAGCAUGGAAUAAUGAAAUAGGACGUUCGAUCCUAUUUUGUUGGUUUCUAGGAUUGACGUAAUGAUUAAUAGGGAUAGUUGGGGGCAUUAGUAUUCAAUUGUCAGAGGUGAAAUUCUUGGAUUUAUUGAAGACUAACUACUGCGAAAGCAUUUGCCAAGGAUGUUUUCAUUAAUCAAGAACGAAAGUUAGGGGAUCGAAGACGAUCAGAUACCGUCGUAGUCUUAACCAUAAACUAUGCCGACUAGGGAUCGGAUGAUGUUAAUUUUAUAAUGACUCAUUCGGCGCCUUACG